rnacentral:rRNA from 1 species
GACGAACGCUGGCGGCGUGCCUAAUACAUGCAAGUCGAACGCAGUGGGGACGGGUGAGUAACACGUGGGUAACCUCCCAUCAGAGGGGAUAACACUUGGAAACAGGUGCUAAACCGAUACUGAUGGAUGGACCCGCGGUGCAUUAGCUAGUUGGUGAGGUAACGGCUCACCAAGGCCACGAUGCAUAGCCGACCUGAGAGGAGGACCGGCCACACUGGGCAGGAGACACGGCCCAGACUCCUACGGGAGGCAGCAGUAGGGAAUCUUGUGCAAUGGACGAAAGUCUGACCGAGCAAUGCCGCGUGAGUGAAGAAGGUUUUCGGAGCGUAAAACGCUGUUGUUAGAGAGGCGGUAUCUAACCAGAAAGCCACGGCUAACGACGUGCCAGCAGCCGCGGUAAUAC